rnacentral:lncRNA from 1 species
AGAAUUCCAGACAAUUCAGAACAAAUACUACAAAUCAGAGACCAUACUCUAACCUCCUUUCAAUCUUACACUUUUGAAAGACAACUUAGAAGUACCAAGGACAGUGAGCAACUCCACACUAAUAGUUAACAUUGCGCCUUUAUUUUGACUUUCUUCUGUUGAGCUGGAGUUAAAUUUGUCUUCAGUAAAAACUUUUCUCAGCUUCUCUAUGGUGCAUAUCAUAUUAGCUCUAAUGUAAAAUGUUCAAAGGCAUGAAAGGCUGAGUGUAGGCUUGUCAUUCACACAGGAAGACCAGA